rnacentral:rRNA from 1 species
UACAGAGGUGGCAAGCGUUGUUCGGAAUUACUGGGCGUAAAGGGCGCGUAGGCGGUCCUGUAAGUCCUGUGUGAAAUCCCCCGGCUCAACUGGGGAAUUGCACGGGAAACUGCGGGGCUUGAGUUCGGGAGAGGGAAGCGGAAUUCCGGGUGUAGCGGUGAAAUGCGUAGAUAUCCGGAGGAACACCGGUGGCGAAGGCGGCUUCCUGGACGACUUCUGACACUGAGGCACGAAAGCUAGGGGAGCAAACAGG